UUUAAAGUAUAAGUAUAUCCCAUGCAAUAUUUGGGACAUACUUAUACUAAAA
rnacentral:pre_miRNA from 1 species